rnacentral:rRNA from 1 species
GACGAACGCUGGCGGCGUGGAUUAGGCAUGCAAGUCGAACGACGGUAGGGCUUCGGCCCUAUACGGAGUGGCGAACGGGUGAGUAACACGUGAACAACCUGUCCUUACAUUCGGGAUAAUUCACCGAAAGGUGUUGUAAUACCGGCGAGGAUGGUGGUGGGGCAUCUCACUACUAAGGAACGAGCAAUCGGUGCAAGGAGGGGUUCGCGGUCUAUCAGCUUGUUGGUGAGGUAACGGCUCACCAAGGCGACGACGGAUAGCUGGUCUGAGAGGAUGGUCAGCCACAUUGGAACUGAGAUACUGUCCAGACUCCUACGGGAGGCUGCAGUCGAGAAUCUUGGGCAAUGCACGAAAGUGUGACCCAGCGACGCCGCGUGGAGGAUGAAGGCCCUUGGGUCGUAAACUCCUUUUGUGUGAGAAGAACGUGGGGGCAACCCUGCUUGACGGUAUCACACGAAUAAGCCACGGCUAACUACGUGCCAGCAGCCGCGGUAAUACGUAGGUGGCAAGCGUUGUCCGGAUUUACUGGGCGUAAAGCGUAUGCAGGCGGAUGAGUAAGUAGGAAGUGAAAGGUUGGAGCUCAACUCUAACACGGCUCCCUAUACUGCUUGUCUUGAGUGCCGGAGAGGACAAGGGAACUUCACGUGUAGCGGUGAAAUGCGUUGAGAUGUGAAGGAACACCAAUGGCGAAAGCACUUGUCUGGACGGAAACUGACGCUGAGAUACGAAAGCCAAGGGAGCGAACAGGAUUAGAUACCCUGGUAGUCUUGGCCAUAAACGAUGUUCACUAGGUGUCGGGGGUUCCCCUCGGUGCCGCAGCUAACGCAUUAAGUGAACCGCCUGGGGACUACGGCCGCAAGGUUGAAACUCAAAGGAAUUGGCGGGGGCCCGCACAAGCGGUGGAGCAUGUGGCUUAAUUCGAUGCAACGCGAAGAACCUUACCAGGGCUUGACAUGGAUCUGCAAGCUCGUGAAAGCGAGUCGCUUUCGAAGGUGAUUCACAGGUGGUGCAUGGCUGUCGUCAGCUCGUGUUGUGAAAUGUUGGGUUAAGUCCCGCAACGAGCGCAACCCUCAUGUUUUGUUACCAGCGGAUAAUGCCGGGAACUCGAAACAAACUGCCUCUGUAAAGAGGAGGAAGGUGGGGAUGACGUCAAGUCAUCAUGCCCCUUACGCCCUGGGCUGCACACAUGCUACAAUGGCCGGUACAAAGAGUUGCUAAACCGCGAGGUGGAGCUAAUCUCAAAAAGCCGGUCUCAGUUCGGAUUGGAGGCUGCAACUCGCCUCCAUGAAGUCGGAAUCGCUAGUAACCGCCGGUCAGCAAUACGGCGGUGAAUACGUUCCCGGGCCU